rnacentral:rRNA from 1 species
UACGUAGGUGGCAAGCGUUGUCCGGAAUUACUGGGCGUAAAGCGUGCGCAGGCGGUGAUGUAAGACAGAUGUGAAAUCCCCGGGCUCAACCUGGGACCUGCAUUUGUGACUGCAUCGCUAGAGUACGGCAGAGGGGGGAUGGAAUUCCGCGUGUAGCAGUGAAAUGCGUAGAUAUGCGGAGGAACACCGAUGGCGAAGGCAAUCCCCUGGGCCUGUACUGACGCUCAUGCACGAAAGCGUGGGGAGCAAACAGG